rnacentral:misc_RNA from 1 species
CAAUUCUCAACUGUGCUCCCCGCGGGGGGGGGCACGGCUUGGACUUGGGAGCUGCUGGCGUCGCGAGACGUCGGCUCUCCUCAAACGCAUUAGCGGACCAGCGUGUUCCAGACGUGCACGGCCUCGUUCGACGUGAUAACGAUCGUCGUCGGGCUGGAGCGUCCAGACGAGCCUCUGCUUCCAACCUGGCCAGCUCGGCUACUAGCCCCCCUGCGGCCUCGCA